AAUUAUCACACUAACAAAAUAUAUAGUUGCUACGGAAUCACUCAGAAUUUACAUCACACUAGCAGGUUGUGGUGGUAGAACUUAGAAUUAUUAUUAUUCCCACAGCAAUAUGCCAAUUUUAUUUCCCGUUCACUCAUUUUCUAUAGUGGGCCUGGGCUCCAUUGCCGGCCCAUUGACUGCGCGUCGAUCCCCAUUCCCCACAUGGCGCCGCCGCCGUCGGGGAGCCUCGCCGCGGCGGCGAGGUGAGCUGCUGCGCCCGCACCUCCUGCCUCACGCCCCGGCGACGCGGCGUACUUCGCCGCCGGCGGCAAGCACCUCGCGCGUUCGAUCUGGCCGUGCUCGCCGCGCUACGGCGUGUUCUUCUUGGUCGCCGACUUGCCGCCGGUGGAAGCAAUUGAAUUGUAUGACGGCGCCUCCUCGAUCGACCAUGGGGGUGAGGUGGUUAGGCGAUCAUCAUCAGCCUAAUUAAGUUCGUUGCAACUUUUGAUUCAUACAUGUAUGUUUUGGUUAAAAUUUAGUUAGUCACUAGUUUAAUUCUGUUUGUGAAUUUCAGUUACAAAGGUAUAAGCAUCAUUAGCAUAUGACAAUAUGAUAUUAGGAGGCCAUGAAUCUCAGUUCCAUGCACUUUUCAUUAAUUAUAUAUGAUUUGUUUCAAUUGUCAAUCAUUAGACAGUUGUUUCAGAUAGGAUAUAAUCAAGAUUAUAUAUAUGUUUUGUUUCAAUUAUCAAUGACUAAUGCAAUGUUACAGAAGCUUAUAAUAAUCAUAAGCACACGUAGUAAAUUACGGUCAGAACUGUAGGUAAGUUUGGCGUGUUAUCAUCUUUUGUGUACACUCCCUGCAUGAUCGUAGAACUUCAUGGAUACUAACUAGCUCAUCUUGAAGAAUAGGAAACAGAUAAAAUGCUCUCUGCAUCCUUUCUUUUGGAAUCCACCAUCAUAGACGUUGGUUUCGACCUGUGGAUCUGCACUCAUCGACAGGCCUAUGUGAUCGCGUCCUAUGUCUUUUUUUUUUCUGCCACUGAAACAGGGAAAGUUUUAUAGCGUCUCUAUUCAUAUACAUACUUCAUUUAUUGGAGUGGAACUGACAACUGAAGGGUAACAACAACAAGCACAAUACGGGGCUGUUCAGAUUGAUGUCAAAAUGAACCUUACCAAAAUUUGACAACGCCAAAAUUUUAGCAAAUUGAUAAUAUUACCAAAAUUUUGGUAGAAUUGGCUUAAUAAUGUUGCCAAAAUUCUAUUCACAUUGCCAAUAUUUGGUAAGAAACUAAAUGUAGUCACAUAAUUAUUAAUUUUAUCAAAUAAUAAUAUAGUUGAAAAUAUCAUCAAUCUGAACAGACCCUACAUCUCCAUUUUUUAUCUGUUUUUUCCCCACUGCUAUUUGUUGAUUUGCAACUCUGCAAUGGACUUGUACUCACUUGAGCAUCAAUUAGUUUUUAUUCCUCUUUUAAUUUUAUUACCCGUGGGCCUCGGCCCAUUAACGGCCCAAUUUGGACUCUGCUGCGUAUACCCGAUCUGGUGGGCACACAACUCAUCGAUUCCCCAAAAUGGCGCUGCCGGUGCCGGACGACGCCCUCGCCGCCAUCCUCCGCCGCCUGCCGCCGCGCAGCCUCGCCGCGGCGCGCUGCGUCUGCAAGCAAUGGCGCGACCUCGUCGACGACCGCGCGCUGCUGUUGCCGCACUCGGCGCACGGCGUUGUCAUCUCCUACGUCGACCACCACCGCCCGCACCUCUUCUCCCGCCCCUCCUCCUCAUCCUCCUCGUCGGCGGCGGCGGCGAGCGACGGACCAAGCCUCUGCCUGCCCCGCGCCGCCGUCAGAAACUGGCAGUGGCACGUGAUAGACCACUGCGGCGGCCUCCUCCUCCUCUCGGCAACUGGGGCGGCGAGCUCCGCGUCUGCAACCCGGCGACGCGGCGGCGCGCCACGCUGCCGCCGCCGCCGCAGCGCGCGUGCAGGGACGACGUCACCGCCAUCCCCGUCGGCGAGUACCUCGUGUUCGAGCCGGCCGUGUCGUCGCCGUCGCCGCACUACGAGGUGUUCUUGAUCCCCACCGUGCCGGGGCACCCCGGGCCACCACCAACACCACCGGCGCACAUCAGGUUGAAGCCAAUGGCGGCGGCGGCGGCGCCGUUCUGCCUGGACGAGCGGCUAGCGUCGCUCCGCGGAGCCUCCUACCCCACCGUGGAGGAGAUGAUGGAGGACAUGGCUGAGGCAACGGUGGAUUCGCCGCCGCCAUCGCCGUAUGAGUGGGACCAACAAUUAUUUUGCUUGAUGUGUUGGCAAGUUGAGUACCAAUAUUUGUCGGCGGAAUGGCCGCCGCCGUCGUACAAGAUCGACGCGUUCUCGUCGAGGACCGGGCGGUGGGAGGAGAGGGUGUUCGUCAGGGAAGGCGAGACGGCGACGACAUUGGAGGACAUGAAGCCUUGGAACUAUGUCUAUGCAGGUCCAUGGCAAGGGUGCAGUGUGUUAUGGCAGGGAGCACUGUAUGUGCAUUCUGGAGGGGCUUGUGUUACAAGGUUUUCACUGUCAAACGAUAAGUAUCAAAUGAUCAGAGCACCAAUAAACAUUCUGGACAACAAAUUUGACAAACCAUAUCUUGGCAAAUCAAAGAUGGGUGUGUCCUUUGGAUUUAUUCACGAUUGGCAGCUAUCAAUUUGGAUCCUGAAAGAAUCGACCUAUCAACAUGACCUUCAGGCAAUUGCCAACCAGUUAGAUUCAAUCGAUUCUCAUAUUGACCAGAUCAAUGGACCUUGGAUCGUAGAAGAGGAUGACACUGAUAUUCCUUUAAACACAGAGACUCUCUCACAAAGAUUUUGAUUGGGAUUCUGACAAUGAUGAUUUUCUUGCUAUUGAAGUUGGUGGGGAAAAAAAUGAGGGACAUAAUUGUGCACCCUUUGGCAUCCUUGGAUUUCAUCCUUACAAGGAAGUUAUUUACUUGGAAGAAGAAUUCAAAACGGUGGCGUAUCAUUUGAAUAGCUCGAAGAUUCAUUAUCUGGGCUACUCGCGCCCAAAGUGUUACGGCCAAUACUCAACAAAUGGUAUAGAAGGCUCAUUCGUGUACACUCCAUACAUGAUUGGAGACCUUUAAUGAAGACUACAUUUGGAUAGAGUUUAUCUUAAAUAACAGAACCAUAUAUUUACAGGGCUUACAGUUGAACAGAUCAAGAAACAAUAAUGGCGGGAUCAUGUCCGAAAACCUGGGUGUUCUUUGGUCUAUGUUUAUUAUUCAUGGAAUUCCAUAUUCUUGAACCUUAGUAUAAUCUGACCGUUGUUUUGGCAACUGAGUUGCAUGUACCACCCUGUAUGAUUUUAUUCAGUUGAACCUGUUUUUUCAGUUUUCAACAAGAGCAUUUUUUUCCCGUUGAGUUCAUGCCUCUUACAGUUAUAGUCCAAACUAUUCUAUUAGAGUAAAGUGCUUUCACCUUGUUCAGUUGUUUGGCUCAUGACAACCCUCUCAACUGAAAUCCAGACAGGUUAACUACAAGUCCCCCAUGACUAUACUGCAGAUAUAUAGAAACUCAAGGUUGAACAGUGUGCAUGCAAAAGCUACUCCUGGAAACUGAAUUUACUUUAGUUUUGAUCUGCCAGAUCUGUUUUUUUAUCUAUGUGUAAAAUAUAUUGAGAACAGACACUAUCUGAUCUGAAUAAUGUUGGCAUGGCCUUCUGAACCUGCCAUCAUUUUCAGAGCUGAAGCUUGUGGAAAUGGGGCAUUUUCUGACCAAUGGGAGUUGAGAAGAACUGGAGAUCAAAGGA